rnacentral:rRNA from 1 species
UGGGGAAUUUUGGACAAUGGGCGAAAGCCUGAUCCAGCAAUGCCGCGUGUGUGAAGAAGGCCUUCGGGUUGUAAAGCACUUUUGUCCGGAAAGAAAUCCUUGGCUCUAAUACAGUCGGGGGAUGACGGUACCGGAAGAAUAAGCACCGGCUAACUACGUGCCAGCAGCCGCGGUAAUACGUAGGGUGCAAGCGUUAAUCGGAAUUACCGGGCGUAAAGCGUGCGCAGGCGGUUUGCUAAGACCGAUGUGAAAUCCCCGGGCUCAACCUGGGAACUGCAUUGGUGACUGGCAGGCUAGAGUAUGGCAGAGGGGGGUAGAAUUCCACGUGUAGCAGUGAAAUGCGUAGAGAUGUGGAGGAAUACCGAUGGCGAAGGCAGCCCCCUGGGCCAAUACUGACGCUCAUGCACGAAAGCGUGGGGAGCAAACAGGAUUAGAUACCCUGGUAGUCCACGCCCUAAAACGAUGUCAACUAGUUGUUGGGGAUUCAUUUCCUUAGUAACGUAGCUAACGCGUGAAGUUGACCGCCUGGGGAGUACGGUCGCAAGAUUAAAACUCAAAGGAAUUGACGGGGUCAUAGCUGUUUCCU